AAAUUUUGCAAAUAAAAUGCCGUACGAAUAAAUGAAUUGAAAAAAAAACAAAACAAUAAAAAACAAAAAUAGGUGGCAGGAUUGUCGAGCUCAACUCUCCAAGUGGGCCAACGCCCCUAUGCCCCCUCUCGCUGUUCUUUCCUUCCCCUCUCUCUGUCUUUCUUCUUCUUUUUCUCUCUUCUUCUUAUUCUUUUUUCCUUCUUAUUCCCGACCCUGCAAACCUCAUCCCGUGCCCAUCCCUUGCCUCUGCUCCAUCUCAUCCACAUGCAGACCAAAACAUCAUCUCCUUCCUUUUCUUCUGCUGCUCCUUUUCCUUCUUCAAGGCAACUAGCUCACACACACACACACGCUCUCUCUCAGUCUCGGCAGAACGACAGCGACAAUUUCCUCUCUCAUCCUCACCCUUCCUCUCUCUCUCUCUCUAUCUCAGGCUCCCGAAAAAGCAGCAGCAGUUUCCUCUCUUCCCACGCUCAGCCUUCUCUGAUUUUCCUCACCAUCACAGACCUGCCUUUCCUUCCUUUUUCCAUCAUCGUCAUCUCCUUCAUUUUCAUCACAACCUCCCUCUUCAUUCCCUACCACAGAGAGUAGAAAAAAAACAAACCAUCCUCUUGCCGAUCUCUCCCUCUCUCUCUCUCUCGGCUCCACGACAGAAAUUUACACGCACACACACAAAGCCCUUCCAUCACAGCCAUCCUCCUCCUUUUUCAUCUUCUGCCACCAUCACCAGCACCUUCACUGCCUUCCUCAUUUUCCCGCCAGCUAUCAUCACCAUCAUCUCGUCUCUUCUGCUGCCUCUUCCUUUGCCUUGCUGCUUUAUUUGCUGCUCUAUUUGCUGCUCAGUUGCUGCUCUGUUUGCUGCUUUGUUGCCGCUUCCCCAUUACUGAGCUUCUGCUGCUUCGUUGCAAGUCCCUUCGAGCUCCCCGAGCUUAGUGCUGCUGUGCUGGUUCGUUGCUUCCUGCUGCCACCCGCAGCUCACUGAGCUGCUGCUCGCUCCCAGCCCCCACCGAGCUGAGCAGCUGCUAGGCUGCUGCCCUUACUCCUCAAGACACAGAGCUGUUGCCGUUCCCUUCUCGAGCCGUCGCCGAGUUGUUGUUGUAGCUCUUUUCCAGCUCCUGGAGUCAUCGCUGGCACUACCCGCUGCUAUGCUGCCCUCCUACUCUCCUUCCUACUGCUGUUGCUGCCUCUCUCGAGACCCUAGGCUGCUGCCACUGCUCCUCUGCCGCUUCUGGUUUGCAGCUAUCCCGUUCCGAGGCUACUGAGUUGCUGUCCUUCGGCCUCGAGCUCCUCGAGCUACUCUGCUAGCCGCUGCUAUCGUGCCGUCCUUCCUCGACCUCUCGAGGUUACCAUGCCACUGCCUGCUCCUUCCUCGAACUCCUAAGCUGUUGUCAUGCCUUUGCUGCCACUGCAGUGCCCUUUGGGCAGCCCACAACAAGCUCAUUUCAAGUAGUUUUCGAAGCCGCACGGAGCUCCUCUCGACACUAGCUCGAGAGAUGUUCAAUCCUGAACCUAGUGGCAUGUUUAGGGCUCUAACUUUCGCUUGAUCUGUCGAUUGCGUGGAUGACAUCAUUAUAUGAAUGUUUUAACAGAAAAUAGCACAAAUCGGUUUAGUGAUUA